rnacentral:rRNA from 1 species
AAAUAGCCGCGGUAUUUUAACCGUGCUAAGGUAGCAUAAUAAUUUUCUUUUUAAUUGGAAGAUGGAAUGAAGGAGUGAACAAAGAAGUUUUGUACCAUUUUUAUGGGGGUAAUUUUAUCAAGGGGUUAGAAAGCCUCUGUGUUUUAGAAAGACGAUAAGACCCUAUAAAACUUUACUAAUAGGGGUUGUUGAUGUAUUUAAAUUUAAAAACUUAGUAUUAGUUAAGCUGGGGCGGCUUGUUUUUAUAGACGAAAGAUUUUAUAACAUAUUGAAUGGGAUUAAUAAGCGUGUGUAGACAAUAAAGAUUAAGUUACUUUAGGGAUAACAGAAUAAUAUUCUUGGAGAGUUCUUAUCGAUAGGGAUGUUUGUUACCUCGAUGUUGAAUUGAAUUGUCUACUGUGAGCAGUUAUUCAGGGUA